rnacentral:lncRNA from 1 species
CAUCUUCUGCACCAGUAGUGCGUCGAGUGGUAAUCCCGUGAUCCCUAUACGACAGUUCUUCCUAGUUAUACGCGGUAGAUUUUUUGAAUUGCGCUAGUGUAGCCUACCUCGUAUCCCAACAGUGGUAUCAAGAGCCGUAGCUGCUUAGUUUUGGAUUCGGGAUGUGUUAUGCGAGUUUUCUGUUUGAUCUAUGUCCUGGUUUCGUG